GACAGAGGAUGCAAGCGUUAUCCGGAAUGAUUGGGCGUAAGCGUCUGUAGGUGGCUUUUUAAGUCCGCCGUCAAAUCCCAGGGCUCAACCCUGGACAGGCGGUGGAAACUACCAAGCUGGAGUACGGAAGAGGCGAGUGGAAUUCCUGGUGUAGCGGUGGAAUGCGCAGAUAUCAGGAGGAACACCAAUAGCGAAGGCAGCUCGCUGGGACGUUACUGACACUGAGGCGCGAAAGCGUGGGGAGCGAACAGG
rnacentral:rRNA from 1 species